AUUGAACGCUGGCGGCAGGCCUAACACAUGCAAGUCGAACGAGUGGCGGACGGGUGAGUAAUGUCUGGGAAACUGCCCGAUGGAGGGGGAUAACUACUGGAAACGGUGGCUAAUACCGCAUACUAUCGGAUGUACCCAUAUGGGAUUAGCUAGUAGGUGGGGUAACGGCUCACCUAGGCGACGAUCCCUAGCUGGUCUGAGAGGAUGAGCAGCCACACUGGAACUGAGACACGGUCCAGACUCCUACGGGAGGCAGCAGUGGGGAAUAUUGCACAAUGGGCGCAAGCCUGAUGCAGCCAUGCCGCGUGUAUGAAGAAGGCCUUAGGGUUGUAAAGUACUUUCAGCGGGGAGGCGUUACUCGCAGAAGAAGCACCGGCUAACUCCGUGCCAGCAGCCGCGGUAAUAC
rnacentral:rRNA from 1 species